rnacentral:rRNA from 1 species
UACGUAGGGUGCGAGCGUUAAUCGGAAUUACUGGGCGUAAAGCGUGCGCAGGCGGUUUUGUAAGCCAGAUGUGAAAUCCCCGGGCUUAACCUGGGAAUGGCAUUUGGGACUGCAAGGCUGGAGUGCGGCAGAGGAGACUGGAAUUCCUGGUGUAGCAGUGAAAUGCGUAGAGAUGCGGAGGAACACCGAUGGCGAAGGCAGCCCCCUGGGCUGACACUGACGCUCAGGCACGAAAGCGUGGGGAGCAAAAGGG